rnacentral:rRNA from 1 species
CCUACGGGAGGCAGCAGUGGGGAAUAUUGGACAAUGGGGGGAACCCUGAUCCAGCCAUGCUGCGUGUGUGAAGAAGGCCCUCGGGUUGUAAAGCACUUUCAGUGAGGAAGAACGCCUGGUGGUUAAUACCCAUCAGGAAAGACAUCACUCACAGAAGAAGCACCGGCUAACUCCGUGCCAGCAGCCGCGGUAAUACGGAGGGUGCGAGCGUUAAUCGGAAUUACUGGGCGUAAAGCGCGCGUAGGUGGCUUGAUAAGCCGGUUGUGAAAGCCCCGGGCUCAACCUGGGAACGGCAUCCGGAACUGUCAAGCUAGAGUGCAGGAGAGGAAGGUAGAAUUCCCGGUGUAGCGGUGAAAUGCGUAGAGAUCGGGAGGAAUACCAGUGGCGAAGGCGGCCUUCUGGACUGACACUGACACUGAGGUGCGAAAGCGUGGGUAGCAAACAGGAUUAGAUACCCUGGUAGUC